GCCAUAACAAGGUUCUGCAGACCUGGGGGCUUAACAGAAACCAGCUUUCUCCCAAUUCUGGAGGCCGGAAGUCUAAGAUCAAGGCAUCCUGUGCCCUCUUCAAAGAGGUCAUCGUGGGAGGAAAUAUAUUUAUUGGAGUGAACUCGUUCUUGCUCAAAAUUUCUCGAUUGUCUACUUUGACACCUCCUCACAGUCUGGUUAAGCUGCACACAAAACCCAGAAAUUUCAUUUACAGGGACACGUGGGUGGCUCAAUCGGUUAAGCACCUGGCUUCAGUUCUGGUCGUUAUCCCAGGGUCCUGGGUUUGAGCUCCAUAUGGGGCUCCCUCCUGGUUCAGCUGAGAACCUGCUUCUUCC